rnacentral:tRNA from 1 species
GCGCUCGUAGCUCAGCUGGAUAGAGCAUCGGAUUUCGAUUCCGAGGGUCGGGAGUUCGAAUCUCUCCGAGCGCA